AGAACCUUUAACACAGUCCAGAGAGGCUGAGAAGGAAGCGGAGCGUUAAGGAUAUACUACAGCUAUAUCCUGAUUCUAACGAGCAAAAUCCUCAUGCCCUCUUGGCAUGGGGAUUUUUUUAU
rnacentral:sRNA from 1 species